rnacentral:rRNA from 1 species
GACGAACGCUGGCGGCGUGCUUAACACAUGCAAGUCGAACGAAGAGCGAUAGAAGCUUGCUUCUAUCAAUCUUAGUGGCGAACGGGUGAGUAACGCGUAAUCAACCUGCCCUUCAGAGGGGGACAACAGUUGGAAACGACUGCUAAUACCGCAUACGAUCUGACCUCGGCAUCGAGGAUAGAUGAAAGGUGGCCUCUAUUUAUAAGCUAUCACUGAAGGAGGGGAUUGCGUCUGAUUAGCUAGUUGGAGGGGUAACGGCCCACCAAGGCGAUGAUCAGUAGCCGGUCUGAGAGGAUGAACGGCCACAUUGGGACUGAGACACGGCCCAGACUCCUACGGGAGGCAGCAGUGGGGAAUCUUCCGCAAUGGACGAAAGUCUGACGGAGCAACGCCGCGUGAGUGAUGACGGCCUUCGGGUUGUAAAGCUCUGUUAAUCGGGACGAAAGGCCUUCCUGCGAAUAG